rnacentral:ncRNA from 1 species
AUUUAAUUUGGCUUUGGUUAUAAUAUAAAUUAUUAUUAAAUUAAUAUAUGUUAGAUUUUAAAAAUAUACGUUUUAUUUAUUUAUUUGAUUAUUAAUUUGUUUAAUAUAAGUUAAAUAAUAAAAUAAUUAUUAUUAGUAAUUUACUAUAAUAAUAGAGGUAAAUUACGCAGUAUUUAUUAUUAUACAAUGAAUGAAAGUUUGAUAUAAUUAAUGUAGUAUAAAAGUGGUUAAAUUAGUGCCAGCAUCUGCGGUUAUACUAAUGCUUUAAGUUUAUAUUUAUAUAGUAUAAAAUAAAGUAGUGAUAUAUAUUAAUAUUUAGAAUAAUUAAGGACAAUAAUUGGAGGUAAAAUUUAAUAAUUGUUAUUAAUUAUAGUAUUCUGAUUGUAAAUUCUUUGAAAAUAAGGAUGAAAACUAGGAUUAGAUACCCUAUUAUUCUUUAUUUUAAAAAUUUUAUUACUUAAGUAGUGUGAACAAUUAAUUUAUAAAAAAUAGUAUAAGUGAUAUAAAGUUAGAAUGUUUGAAACUUAAAAGGCUUGGCGGUGUUAUAUAUCCUUCCAGAGGAGUUUGCUUAUUAAUUUGAUAAUCCUCAAUUUAUACUUACUUUUUUUUGAAUUUUAUAAAGUAAAGAUCAGUUUGUAUAUUGCUGUCUUCAGUUUAUUUUGUAAAAAUUUUAUAAGAAACUUAAUAAUGAAAUGAUUAUUAUGUCAAGUCAAAAUGCAGCUAAUAAAAAAGGUUUAAAGUGAACUACAAUUUAUAAUUUUUAAUUCGGAUUAAGUUAUGUAAUUAAUUUGUGAAGUUGGAUUUGGUAGUAAUAUUAUAAUAGUGAGUUUUUGUGAAUUAGGUUUUAUAAUGCGUACAUAUCGCCCGUCGCUCUUGCUGGAAAAUAAGAUAAGUCGUAACAUAGUAGAUGUAGUGGAAACUGUUUCUGGGUUAAU